rnacentral:pre_miRNA from 1 species
GCUGAGAUUAGCCUACUAGCUCAUGUGAAUAUAUGAGCCCAACGACCUAGAUUGAAUCUGGAUUGAUCUGACGGUCAUGACCUCAUUUUGUAUUUGAAUUUUAAUAAUUUUUGUACGAAUCAAAAUAACUUGAAAUCUUAGGUGUGUGUUCUUCAAAAAUAGGAUAAUCUACUAAAAAUAUCAAAAAAAUAAUUUUCAAGUAAUAAAUUGAUCAAAAUACUCUCGAAACGUUUCAAGGGUAUUUUGGUCUUUUUUAUGAAUUAUUUUUAAAAUAUUUUUAUUAGGUGCGUCUUGAUGAUAAGAAUGGACACUUAAAAUUUUGAAUUAUUUGGAUGUGUAAAAAAAAAAAUCAAAAUUCAAACACGAAAUGAGGUCGUGACCGUCAGAUCAGGCUAGAUUAAUCUGGGUUGUUAGGCUCUAUGUUCAUAUGAGCUAGUGGGCUAAUUUCAGC